rnacentral:lncRNA from 1 species
GCUCCCUGAGUCGCCACACACGUAAGAGGAAGGGCCUAUCUAGUCCUCAUCUUAUGAUGAAAUAACGGAGACACAGAAAGGUUAGGUAGAGCCUGACCUGUAACUGCCCGAUUGAAAAUCUCUGCCUUUUUCCCAGCCAGCCUUUUCGCUGGUACCUAGGGGUUUCUGGAAGUUUGGCCCACACCUGGCUGCCCGUGCAACCGCGUGUGCUCUGGGAGCCUUGUUUUCAGGUGGAGAUGAUGGGAGCACGAUUCUCAUUGCUUAUAUAGAACCCGCUUUAAGUCCUCUUACGUGGAUUAGCUCGUUUCACGAGGAGGAGGCGGGGCCGCUGCCUGCGAAGGAAAGACCCUCUCCUCCAUCAAGAAAACGUCUUCCGUGCUCCAGGAUUUGAUGCGUUAAGAAAGAAGCAGUACAUCUGGGGACAUGGUGUGGCCGAGGAUACCAGAAGGGGGUUGACGGUCCGAGGGAGUCUGGAGGAGAAAGGCACGGAGCAUGCAGGUAAGUGAUUGAAACUUUCCCAGCCUCGAGUUUCACAUCUAUGAAAUGGGUCUGAUGAUACCUCCCUUCAGGUGUUGUGAGGAGGAAAAAAAACGAGGAUGGCCCUUGGUACGGGGUAGGUAUGUAGUCAACAGCAGCUGUCAUUUAUUCUCCUGUUACCUUUUACACUGAGCGGUGUUGUCUUGGGCACAUUUUAAGAAAUGUGUACCAGGGAGCUUCCGUUGUGGAGCAGUGAAAACAAAUCCAACUGGUAUCUGUGAGGAUGCGGAUUUGAUCCCUGGCCUCAAUCAUGGAUCAGGGAUCUGGGCAUUGCCAUGAGCUGUGAUGUAGGUUGCAGACGUGGUUCAGAUCUGAUGUUGCUGUGGCUGUGGUGUAAGCCAGCAGCUGUAGCUCUGAUUCAGCCCCUGGUCUGGCAACUUCCAGAUGCCACACAUUCAGCCCUAAAAAGCAAGCAAGCAGACAAGCAAGCAAGCUAAGAAAGAAAGGAAAGAAAGAGAAAUUCGUACUCCUGUUUCUUCACCUCUAAAACAGGAAUUGGUGUUCUUAAGACUACCGAACUGAUAGAAAACCUAGCUCAGGGCUAGACACUCAGUGGCUUCUCAAUAUGCGAUACUCACUUGCCCUCUGGAUGCCCUGCCCUCACGCAGGGAUCCCACCCCCAGCCCCUUCAGCCCCCUUGCCUCCAUCCUGGAGAAGAUGCGGGUUCCAAGGACGUGAAAACCUCUCACCUCUUAAUGCUUUUUCUGCCUUCUGCUUGGGCUAAUUCCUUUAUCCUGGGUUCAUUAAGCUCGCGUCCAUCAAGCCUCACAGUCUAGGGAGGAGCUGGUGGUUUCAUUUCCAUUUUUAGAAUGCAGAGCACAAAGCACACUGUGAUUGAAGAUCCUGCUUGACAGCACUCAGAAACGCAUGGCAACUGCUGUCACCGAGCCCUUAAUGCACUUGCUCCCACAGCCCGUGUUUCGUGACCUCUCACCAGGUGCCAAUUAUAGCUGACCUGAUGCUGGGUCUGCCUGGAGUAGGCAGAGUCCCUGUAAUUCUGUUUGGUUACAGAGGACCUGUCAGGACUGAACAAAAUCAAAUAGUUUCGUGGUGAAUACUCACUUGCCCCCCCCCCCUUUUUUAAGCAAAAGAUGGUAGAUGGAGGAAAACAUCGCAGAUGAAAAAGAAUGAGCCCACUUGUGCUUGUAGGAGCUUCAGCAAGGUCUCAGCACAUAAGGUUGGGCCGAUGAGGCAAAGCAGUGGAAGCUGGGUGUUGGCCGCUUCUCUAUGACUCUUUCUCUGCAAUCCCUUGCAUGGUUACGGAAAAUAAGCCUGUGUCUGAGCAGUUUUCCUGAAUUUCCAAUAGAAAAAUGUAACAACUUGGUCUUUUUUUUUUUAAUGAUUUAGAAAACUUAUACUCCAAUUUAUUUUCUCUCUGAUAUUCUCUGAUUUUGUGUUACUAAUAGCAAGCAAAAUAACACACAUAUUUGUAGAGUUCACAAGACACUAUAAUCAUUGUAGAGACAAUAUUUCUUUAGGUUUAUGUACUUAAUGUACCUAUACCAUUUGCCCCUAAUUCUCUCUGGCACUUUUUUGUUUUUAUCUAUUUAUUUUUGUAAUGAUAGUUGAGGUACAGUAUUCACCUGUGUCUUAUGGAAAUAUCUAUACAGGGUGGAAACUUGGUGAAUUUGGUCUUGCAGUUUUGCCCCCUGGGGCAGACAUUCUGCCCAUACCAACCAUUUUCUUUUGUUGUCAACCAUAUGCAAAGUUCACAUAAGUUUUUACUCAUUGCCCUACACAUGGUAAGAGCCACGUAAGUGGCAGCAAAGACUACGUAGUCAAGCAAUUUUGUAAAAAGCACAUGUUCAUGUCUCCGACUUAGUAGAUCUCUGCAUUAAAAGAGAAUUCUGAAAACAUUACAAAGUCACAGUUAGCUUGUUUCUUUUGCUCAGUAGCGGAAAUGGAGUUAAUGAGAAAUGCUAGUGGGGAAACGUGCUAAUUGCAAGCUGCUUCUGUGAGAUUUUGCUGUACUGCUGGAAGUUUGCAGUUUGAUGGCUUAGACAUUUUACGUGCAACUGGUGCCCUCUAGUGAUGGGGGAGCGGUUGCUGGCCACGUAGUGUAUCCUUUGAAAGCCAAAGUAUUCCACUCUUGGUAAAGUAUCCUUGUCCCCGUUUCCCGGGAAGGGAAAAAACGUGGAGAAGCUGCAAGGCAAGAAGCUGCUUUGGGGUGCCUUCGUAAGUCAGAAGGCAAGCAGCCAUCUGGAGCUUACAAGAUAAGGGUGUUGGGGUUCCCAUCAUGGCUCAGCGGUCAACGAACCCGACUAGCAUCCAUGAGGACAUGGGUUCGAUCCCUGGCCUCGCUCAUUGGGUUGAGGAUCCAGCAUUGCCAUGAGCUGUGGUGUAGGUCACAGACAGAGCUUGGAUCCCAUGUUGCUAUGGCUCCGGUGUAGGCCAGCGGCAACAGCUCCAGUUGGACCGCUAACCUGGGAACUCCCACAUGCUGCGGGUACGGCCCUACAAAGAGGAGAAGAUUAAAAAAAAAAAAA